GUUGUGUAAGAGGGGGGCUACUCCCAAGGAAGAGAACUGCAGCUGCAUCCACUUAUUUUGCCCUAGCAAGUAGAUUCUCAGCUGAUAUAAAACAACAAAGCCUAUUGCACUUAGUGGCGUAAUUUUGCAACAGCUGAGGACAUGUGCUUAUGACUUUAAAUUAGCCGUCAAUGGAAAGUUGUGCUUCUGUUAGCUGGUUGGCUAAAUAAGGACAUAUCUGUAAAAUUGCAAAUGUUGCAACAAGGCAGCUGAGAGGAAAACAGAAGAAGCUGUUGCUCAGAGUACAGGUCUGGCGCAUAAUCUGAUGUUUGCCUCCAAGCAAAGUGCAACCCCAGUAAUUGUGCCCCAUUCUGGGAAGGAAACUGCUCUUCAAGGACACUGGGACUGGUCAGGGAAGCCACUACUUUAGGUGAAGACUGACACAACCCAGUGCUGAUCUGUUGGGAUGCAGACAUGGAGAAAAGGAGGACAAAGAUAUGGAGCAUCUACCAGGUCUCUCAUGUUGGAGCCGUGUUCAGAGUUGACAUCCCAGGUUGCUCCCUGGCCAGGACCUGGGCAGAGCAGUGACCCAUUGCCCUGGGGUGUGGUAGGCAGUGUGUGCUGGACACACAGAGAAAUUUGGCACCAUGUCUUGGCAAUUAACUGGCCCUAAUCAGCUGUGGCAUAGCAUGGCAUAACCUGUUAGAGGAGAGGGGACCUGAUGGUUAGCUAUGGGAUGUGGCUGCAAAGUCUUACUCCUCUUCUUUCUCCUUCUCCCCAGCACCUGCAAGGGAGGAGGCAGAAACAUGCAUAGGAGCCUGGGGCAAUGGAGAUGUAUGGGAAUACAAAAUCUUCCCUGCUAGCCCUCAGAACUGAAGUGAAGUGUUCAGUAAUGAUCUGUGAGUACUGAGAAGGGAUUCAGGGACUUCAGUGUUUCCUAUGGUGACUUAUAGGAUAAGGGAAAUGGACUAGAGGCAGGAGCUUCCUCAGGCAGUUGGACUAGAUAAUGUUUGAAGAUCCCUUCCAAAUUAGCUACUCUGUUCUGUCAUUCCCUUCUAUUCUAAACACGUGGCUCUAGUUUCACAAUCCCUCAGGCUUUGAAGUGAUGUUCUGUGUAAGUCUAUAUUAAGGAUAUAGUUUCCUAAUGACCCCUGCAGCUGUGAUUUUUCAUGCAGCCUCACCUUUGUUUCCUUUUCCAUGGCAUUUCUUUUUUUUCAGAGCAGUAAUUGAUUGCUAGCACAGAAUUUAGUUAUCAUGGGAUUGAAAAUUUGCCCCUCACAGCAGUAAUUAUGACAUUUUAGAGCCUCUAGGUUUCUUUGUCUCCUUAAUCUAGGCUAGUUAAUCCCACUGUUCAGGAAUAAUAUGUAGAAGGGAUUGCAGCCAGUUGAAUGGCAUACCUCUAUAAUAAAAUGCCAGUGAUGUGCA
rnacentral:lncRNA from 1 species